rfam:Triticum aestivum genome assembly, contig: Triticum_aestivum_CS42_TGACv1_scaffold_273170_3DS
GUCCUAUUACCUCCGUCCCAAAUUACUUGUCUUGGAUUUGUCUAGAUACGGAUGUAUCUAACACUAAAAUGUGUCUAGAUACAUUCUUGAAAAAUCUAAGACAAGUAAUUCGGGACGGAGGGAGUGUUAG